GAGUUUGAUCAUGGCUCAGAUUGAACGCUGGCGGUAGGCUUAACACAUGCAAGUCGUGCGAGAAAGUAUCUUCGGAUAUGAGUAGAGCGGCGGACGGGUGAGUAACGCGUAGGAAUCUACCUAGUAGAAGGGGAUAGCCCGGGGAAACCCGGAUUAAUACCGUAUACCUCCUUCGGGAGAAAGAAGGCCUCUCUUUGAAGCUUUCGCUACUAGAUGAGCCUGCGUAAGAUUAGCUUGUUGGUGAGGUAAAGGCUCACCAAGGCGACGAUCUUUAGCUGGUCUGAGAGGACGAUCAGCCACAUUGGGACUGAGACACGGCCCAGACUCCUACGGGAGGCAGCAGUGGGGAAUAUUGGACAAUGGGCGCAAGCCUGAUCCAGCCAUACCGCGUGUGUGAAGAAGGCCUUCGGGUUGUAAAGCACUUUAAGCAGGGAGAAAAAGUUAUAAGUUAAUACCUUAUAACCCUGAUGUUACCUGCAGAAUAAGCACCGGCUAAUUCCGUGCCAGCAGCCGCGGUAAUACGGAAGGUGCAAGCGUUAAUCGGAAUUACUGGGCGUAAAGCGCGCGUAGGUGGUUUGUUAAGUUGGAUGUGAAAGCCCUGGGCUUAACCUAGGAACUGCAUCCAAAACUAACUCACUAGAGUACGAUAGAGGGAGGUAGAAUUCAUAGUGUAGCGGUGGAAUGCGUAGAUAUUAUGAAGAAUACCAGUGGCGAAAGCGGCCUCCUGGAUCUGUACUGACACUGAGGUGCGAAAGCGUGGGUAGCGAACAGGAUUAGAUACCCUGGUAGUCCACGCCGUAACGAUGACAACUAGCCGUUGGGAGACAUGUCUUUCAGUGGCGCAGCUAACGUUUUAAGUGUCGCCUGGGGAGUACGCCGCAGCUAAACUCAAUGAAUGACGGGACCGCACAGCGUGAGCAUGUGUUUAUCGAUGCACGCGAAAACUACUACUCUGACAUACUGGGAGCUCUGUAUGAGAGUGUGCCUAUGACAGAUACAGGUGCUGCAUGCUGUCGUCAGCUCGGUCCUGGAAUGUUCGUAGUCGGAUACGAGCCCACCCUUACCCUUAUUGCAGGAAUUCGUCGGCACCAUUAAGGACUGCGGCGUUAUAACCCGAAGAAAAAGG
rnacentral:rRNA from 1 species